rnacentral:rRNA from 1 species
GUUUGGGAAUGCAGCUCAAAGUGGGUGGUAAAUUCCAUCUAAGGCUAAAUAUAAGUGAGAGACCGAUAGCAUACAAGUACCGUGAGGGAAAGAUGAAAAGAACUUUGAAAAUAGAGUUAACAGUACGUGAAAUUGCUGAAAGGGAAACGUUUGAAGUUAGUAUUGUAUUCGUUGGAUCAGCUUCGCAAGGAGUGUAUUCCGAUGAUAAGCAAGUCAACAUCAAUCGAUGAGUGUUGGAUAAGGGUUUCGAGAAUGUAGCAAUUUAAUUGUGUUAUAGCUUGGGACUUGGAUACAACGCUCUUGAUUGAGGAACGCGUAGUAAGCUUUGAGCGGGUUCGAAAGAAUCUCCUUACUAUGGAUGUUGGUGAAAUAACUUUAAGCGACCCGUCUUGAAACACGGACCAAGGAGUCUAACAUGCUUGCGAGUAUUAGGGUGUUGAAACCCGAAUGCGUAAUGAAAGUGAAUUUCAGAUGUGAUCCGCAAGGUGCAACAUCGGCCGGUCCUGAUUAUUUAUAUGACGGUACUGAGCAAGAGCAAGUAUGUUAGGACCCGAAAGAUGGUGAACUAUGCCUGGAUAGGG